UCGCCUUUGCAUUACCAAACUUCUCCCUUAUUCCUUUCUCCCGUUACUUCUCUCAUGCCUCUAAGGAAGUGGUGGCACUGCUGUUAGCCCCCCCUCCCCCCCCACCCAAGGCUGCUGUGGUAUUUGACUUGCUUGUUGAGAUGAGACAUCACAUGGGUGGAAACAGGAAAGUGACAACACCAUAAGCCAUCAAUUACCACGGCCUUCCCUUCUCAUCUGCCAGUUUGGUGUGGUUUGCCUACAGAACUGUCAUCCUGCCCACCCUGCUGCCAGGAAAGGCCUGCUCUGCUUUGGUGACUGCUGUGUUGGAGCCUUGUCACUCAAGUGGAGCACAAUGUACGCCACCCCCGCCAAGGCUGUGCCCACGUCCCCCCAACCACCCCACAUUCUCUAGAAAGGCGAAGGGUGCGUGGAGACAUGAUCGAGGUUUAUAAAUGGAUGAAGGACUUUAAUAAGGGAGACAUUCAUAAGGUUCUGUUGGUAAGAGAACCGGGUAGGACACGAAAUAAUGGGUUUAAACUGGAUAAAUUCAGAUUCAACAGGGACAUAGGCAAAAAUUGGUUUACAAACAGGGUGGUGGAUGAGUGGAAUAUUCUUAGCAGUCAUGUGGUGAGUGCCAAUACAAUUGUCACAUUCCAAAAUAGAUUAGAUAAAUUCAUGGACAGCGAUAUUAGGUGGGGUUAGAUACACGGGAGCUUAGAUUCAGAGGAGCUGCCUCGUACAGGCCUACCUGCAGACUUGCAGACUCCUAUGUUCUUAUGUUCUCUCGUCCCGCCAGCCCAGGGUAUGGCACAACAGUGUUCAGUCUGUGGCUUGAGUUACCUCCCACUGCUCUGCCUGAAUCCCGCCAUCAGUGCCUGACCUAAGGAUGACCAGGGACUAACACCUUGCCACCAUCUUGAAGAGGAUGUCCUCCCCCUCCCUGGCACCACCAUACUGCAUCCACCCUCCCACUGAUAUGUUAGAUCCCUGAACUCUUAACCUGUCAUUUUGUACUUGUUCUUUACAAUGUGUUUAUAAUGUGUACAUUUUAAGCUUUUGUAAGAUUUUAUAUGCCCAUAUAGAGUGGGAACUGAAUGUGAAAAAGAAUGCAAAAUAAUUUUGAAUGGUGAAGAAAUGGAGGAGGUCAAUGAGUUUAAGUACCUUGGAUCAGUUAUGUGUAAGCAUGGUGGUAUGGAGGGAGAGAUAAGAGAAAGGGCAUUGCAAGGAAGAAGGGUAGUAGGGUCUUUGGGACGAAUCAUGAAUGGCAGAAGUGUGAGCAUGGAAGUAAAGGGGGAUUUGAGAAAUACAAUAAUAGUACCAACCCUCACAUAUGCAAGUGAAACGGGGGCCUGGAAUGAAAGUCAGAGGUCUAGAGUGCAGGCAGUGGAGAUGAGUUAUUUGAGGAGUGCUUGUGGUGUGAGUAGAAUGGAUGGAAUGAGUAAUGAAAGUGUGUACGAGCAUUUUGGAAUGUGUCACAGGGGUGAAGGGAAGAAGUGUGGAGUGGUGGAAGAAGUGAAGCAAUAGACCUUAAAGUGGUUUGGCCACAUGGAGCGAAUGGAGGAGAGUAAGAUGACCAGAAGGGUGUAUGUGAGUGAGAUAGAGGGAGGGAAUGCUAGAGGACGACCUCCAGUGAAAUGGAGGGAUAGGGUGCAAGAGUACGUUAGGGAGAGGGGGAAAGAUCUUUGAGAAACUUUGAGCAGGCAAGGAGGGAGCGUCUGGAAAGAGAAAGUUGGAAGCUCUUCUGCCAUGGCUAUCCCCUGGUGGGAGCUCCUAGGAGCAGGCAUUGAUGAAAUGAUGAUGAUGAUGAUGAUGAUGAUGAUUUAAGCUUAGCGGCUGGAAAGACCAAAUACACUAUAUUAUUACUAGUAACACACACACUUAACCAAUAAGCCCUGGCCACAACAGCCAGCCCAGCACAGUCACCAAAAAGAUCAAACCUUUCACAGUACACACCAACCACAUGCAGCCUAGGAUGGAAAGUGAAUAAUAGAUCAUGCUGUUACAGUCACCAUUUGUUCCAAUACAUGAUGAUUUUCUGUUCUCUGUGCUACACACAGCCUUAUAACUCCACCACAACAAACACUUGCACUCACACACACAGCAGAAGUGAAUCAGCACAGCACCUCAGGAGAAGUGGACCUUCAUGUGCCUGACAAUCUCACCCUUAGUCGUGAAACGUUUCCCACAAACAUCGCACUUGAACCCUUUAUGACCAGAGUGUCUGAAGAGGUGCCUGUCCAAUGUACUCUUCAGUUUGAAUCUUUUCCCACAAACUUCACACUCAUGAUUUCUUGCAUCAGUGUGUGUAAGGGCAUGUUUCUUGAGGGUACCCUUCUCACUGAAACAUUUACCACAAACUUCACACUCAUGAUUUCUUUCACCAGUGUGUGUAAGGGCAUGUUUCUUGAGGGUACCCUUCUGACUGAAACAUUUUCCACAAACUUCACACUCAUGAUUUCUUUCACCAGUGUGUGUAAGAGUGUGUACUUUCAGGCUAUUCUUCUGACUGAAACAUUUCCCACAAACUUCACACUCAUGAUUUUUUCACCAGUGUGUGUAAGAGUGUGUAAUUUGAGGGUACCCUUCUGACUGAAACAUUUCCCACAAACUUCACACUCAUGAUUUCUUUCACCAGUGUGUGUAAGAGUGUGUAAUUUGAGGUUACCCUUCUGACUGAAACAUUUCCCACAAACUUCACACUCAUGAUUUCUUUCACCAGUGUGUGUAAGAGUGUGUAAUUUGAGGUUACCCUUCUGACUGAAACAUUUCCCACAAACUUCACACUCAUGAUUUCUUUCACCAGUGUGUGUAAGAGUGUGUAAUUUGAGGGUACCCUUCUGACUGAAACAUUUCCCACAAACUUCACACUCAUGAUUUUUUUCACCAGUGUGUGUAAGUGUGUGUAAUUUGAGGUUACCCUUCUCAGUGAAACAUUUCCCACAAACUUCACACUCAUGAUUUCUUUCACCAGUGUGUGUAAGAGUGUGUUUCUUGAGGUUACUCUUCUGACUGAAACAUUUUCCACAAACUUCACACUCAUGAUUUCUUUCACCAGUGUGUGUAAGAGUGUGUAAUUUGAGGUUACCCUUCUCACUGAAACAUUUCCCACAAACUUCACACUCAUGAUUUCUUUCACCAGUGUGUGUAAGGGUGUGUCUGUUGAGGGUACUCUUCUGACUGAAACAUUUCCCACAAACUUCACACUCAUGAUUUCUUGCACCAGUGUGUGUAAGAGUGUGCAAUUUGAGGUUACCCUUCUGACUGAAACAUUUCCCACAAACUUCACACUCAUGAUUUCUUGCACCAGUGUGUGUAAGAGUGUGCAAUUUGAGGUUACCCUUCUGACUGAAACAUUUCCCACAAACUUCACACUCAUGAUUUCUUUCACCAGUGUGUGUAAGGGCAUGUUUCUUGAGGGUACUCUUCUGACUGAAACAUUUCCCACAAACUUCACACUCAUGGUUUCUUGCACCAGUGUGUGUAAGGGUGUGAUGUUUGGGGUUACUCUUAUUACUAAACCUUUUGCCACACUCCUGGCUUUCAUGAGGUCUUACACCAGAGUGUGUGGGUGUAUUUGUUGAGGUCAUCCUUGCACCUUGCAGCCUCCACUGCAGCACUACUCUGGAUGUGAGGAGUUCGCUGGCCUUGAGGAACCUCGGAGUUGCCGGAGAAGGCGGCGAGGUUGCUUCAAAGCCACACUCAGUGAGCAAUUGAGCAGGCAAGACGUGGGAUGCACCAAGGAGUCCUGAAGUCAGCGGCACCAAGGACAGAAGAAGUACUGAGCACAGCAACUGUCUCGAUGCCUCACUUCAACACUAACACCAGUGGUGGCCAUUGGGACACAGACAUGUGCUGAAAAAAAAAAAAGAAAGACUGGUACGGAAACUGAACUUGGAGGGAGUGAUCAGGGCGGUGGUGGGUGCACAUAAAGUAAGCCACAGGCCACCGGGUCAGGCAAAUAGUGCGUGUUGAUGAUAUCAUCAGUCUUACAUUAUUUACGAGGACCACACUGUUUUUCUGAUAGGUUUGUAUAUGUUUCAAAUUAUUCUGGUUAUUGAUUAUUCUUGGGAGUGUGGGGGAAGGGGGGCAAAAAAAUAACUGCAAGUGUCACAUGAGCUGGCAGGGAUAAUCCUACAGGGAGGGACACACGGACUUGGUAUCAUUGCUGGGGUGAUGGUACUACGCACUCAUUGGCCAAGUCUUAACUUGUUCUAACAUGCAUGAAAUUAAGUUCGUAUUCCUACCUAAACCCUUUUGAGUUUCAAAGUAACAAACAGACUGUACCAAUAAUAAACUAAUGCAAUAAUAUAUUCACUGA